rnacentral:rRNA from 1 species
CCCUUAGACGUUCUGGGCCGCACGCGUGCUACACUGAGUGGAUCAGCGGGUCAGGUUGCGCGAAAGUGUUUCCUAAUCUUUAAAUCCGCUCGUGAUGGGGAUUGACGGUUGCAAUUUUCUGUCAUGAACGAGGAAUACCUUGUAAGCGCGGGUCAUCAUCCCGCGCUGAAUACGUCCCUGCCCUUUGUACACACCGCCCGUCGCUCCUACCGAUUGAGUGGUCCGGUGAGGCUUUGGGAUCUGAGCGGAAAGAGCGUUUCGCUGUUUCUGCUCGGAAAACUCAGUCGAACCUUAUCAUUUAGAGGAAGGAGAAGUCGUAACA